UUUGUGGCCAAGGCACAACAGGAACUGGAUGAAAAAAUCACUAAGGAACUGAAAGAAGCCACUGCUGAACUUGAAACUGGACGUGCUAGAUCUUCCAAAAACCUUCAUGUGGACCAGAAUCCCCUUUGCAGAGCAAUAGAGGAGUACCGUGAUGUUUUAACCAAAAAUUACCUAAUUAAAUGAAAUGCUAUGGAAAGGCUCUGGACAUUUUUUGCUUUUAUAGAAAGCACAUCUAUAGUUUCCCUUCUCCCCAGUUCAGAUGUGAAAACUUGUUCAUUGCAGUCUGAAUAUAAACUCCAUUAAAUGGAUGUCAAGCACAGUGCACCCAUCUGUUGGUUUUUUCUGCAUAGCUGGUUUCUUUUGCACUCACAAUAAGAACCACAUCCAUUUUUUCUGUCCAGGAGAUUGACUGAUCUGGAUUCUUGAGCUUGACACAACUGUCAGAAAUGUUUUCUCUUACAGUAGCUUCAUUAUGGUGCAUUAUUAGUGUUCUGUUUUUUUAACAAGUUAAACCAAAGUUUCCCUUUGUUUUUUUUCUCAUCCGUUCCCUUAAUGUGUUUGGAAUGUUUCCAGUGUUAUUUUUGUGCUUAGAGACAUGUUCGAGACCUGGAAGUCAAGAAGAAAAACCAUUCCCAGGUCUUGCUGGGAAGUAGACAUCUAUGAAAGUCUACCUCACCCGUCCUCAUUUC